rnacentral:rRNA from 1 species
AUUGAACGCUGGCGGCAUGCUUUACACAUGCAAGUCGAACGGCAGCGGGGAGGAGCUUGCUUCUCUGCCGGCGAGUGGCGAACGGGUGAGUAAUACAUCGGAACGUGUCGAGAAGAGGGGGAUAACCACCCGAAAGGGUGGCUAAUACCGCAUAAAUUCUGAGGCAGAAGCUGGGGACCUAGGAAUAGGCCUAGCGCUUUUUGAGCGGCCGAUGUCGGCUUAGCUAGUUGGUGGGGUUAAGGCUCACCAAGGAGAAGAACUGUAGCGGGUCUGAGAGGAUGGUACGCGACACUGGGAGUGAGCCACGGCCCAGACGCCUACGGGAGGCAGCAGUGGGGAAUGUGGGACAAUGGGGGCAACCCUGAUCCAGCCAGGCCGCGUGUAUGAAGAAGGCCUUAGGGUUGGAAAGUACGUUUGUUAGUGAAGAAAAGUCAGCUGUGAAGAAUGGCUGAUACUGACGGUACCUAAAGAAUAAGCACCGGCUAACUACGUG